rnacentral:rRNA from 1 species
GAACGAGGGAGACGAAGCGACCUGGAAAGGUCCGUCGUAGAGGGUAACAACCCCGUAGUCGAAACUUCGUUCUCUCUUGAAUGUAUCCUGAGUACGGCGGAACACGUGAAAUUCCGUCGGAAUCUGGGAGGACCAUCUCCCAAGGCUAAAUACUCCCUAGUGAUCGAUAGUGAACCAGUACCGUGAGGGAAAGGUGAAAAGCACCCCGGAAGGGGAUUGAAAGAGAUCCUGAAACCGUGUGCCUACAAAUAGUCAGAGCCCGUUAACGGGUGAUGGCGUGCCAUU